CAGGGAAUCUUGCACAAUGGGCGAAAGCCUGACGCAGCGACGCCGCGUGGGGGAUGAAGGUCUUCGGAUUGUAAACCCCUUUCAGCAGGGACGAAAAUGACGGUACCUGCAGAAGAAGCCCCGGCCAACUACGUGCCAGCAGCCGCGGUAAGACGUAGGGGGCGAGCGUUGUCCGGAUUUAUUGGGCGUAAAGAGCUCGUAGGCGGUUGCGUAAGUCGGAUGUGAAAACUCAGGGCUCAACCCUGAGACGCCAUCCGAUACUGCGCUGACUUGAAUCCAGUAGGGGAGUGUGGAAUUCCUGGUGUAGCGGUGAAAUGCGCAGAUAUCAGGAGGAACACCCAUGGCGAAGGCAGCACUCUGGGCUGGUAUUGACGCUGAGGAGCGAAAGCAUGGGUAGCGAACAGGAUUAGAUACCCCCGUAGUCCCUGAGCGGGCUGGCAAGGCGCAU
rnacentral:rRNA from 1 species